ACGAAGGGUGCAAGCGUUACUCGGAAUUACUGGGCGUAAAGCGUGCGUAGGUGGUUUGUUAAGUCUGAUGUGAAAGCCCUGGGCUCAACCUGGGAAUUGCAUUGGAUACUGGCAAGCUAGAGUGUGGUAGAGGAUGGCGGAAUUCCCGGUGUAGCAGUGAAAUGCGUAGAUAUCUGGAGGAACACCGGUGGCGAAGGCGGCGUUCUGGACUGCAACUGACACUGAGGAACGAAAGCCAGGGGAGCAAACGGGA
rnacentral:rRNA from 1 species